AAUUUCGUUCCACCCAAAGAAACACAUAUACUUAUAAAUUCUACAUAAACAUUGGUAUCUAUCAGUAACAUCUCCUUGUCCUAGGCCUGCAUCAUGCAUAUAUAUAUAUAUAUAUAUAUAUAUAUAUAUGGUUAUGUAAAUUGUCAUAAAGCCUUGGCAUCCUCCAUUAUCGUAAGAUGCCAACGAAACAGGUAAGUUUCUGCAAUGACAAAAAGGUUGUAGUGAGGGUAUACGUUGAGAAGCCUAGGAAGAAGAGAUCAUCUUCAAUUCAACAUCAGUAUCAGAUUCAUGGCCCUAUCAGUAUGGGAUGUGGAAGAAGAGCAGGGUUGCUUAGCUAUUCUCAUCUGCUACGUGAAUCUGCAAGAGGAGCAUUAUCAGCACCUUCAUUCUCCAAGUGGGUUACAAACACCAAUCUUCAACCACCAACCCAGGGCCGUUUCCUUGUCUUGCAGAUAACCCCUUCCAACAUGAAAAAGCCAACAUGCUUUGGCAGCUGCACUUGGAAACUACUAAUUCCGAGGUUCCUAAGGUCAUGUUCAAAAGCCAAGAAAAAGGAGAACAAGAAGAAACAUAUGGGUGCAGAUUUUUCAGGAAAUGGAAUGAGAAUGAUCUGCUGUUACAGGUCCUGAUACUAUGGAAUGAUGCAGUUUAAUUCUCUGGUAUGGAAAGGGAGAAGUUUCAUUUGGAAUGUGUUAUCAACUAGAUUAGCUUCAGGGUCAAUUUUAUCCUGGUGGUUCACAUCUCUCAAGAGGAUGAUGAGACUUCUCUGCAGCUGGCGUUACAUGGAGGAGCUGCUAAUGUUUAGUAGCAUUAGUUAGUCGUAUUGUAUAUAGUUUUGAUUAGUGAUGUUGUAAAUAAAGUUAUAAAUUUAUAGUUAUGAAUAUGACGAUAGAUAACUUUAUUUUUCAACCUUUGUCUAUUGUUCUCGUUUUAUUGAUUAUGUGAUGGAUCUUAUAUAGUUUUAUAUUAUAUUUUGGGAUGUUACAAGAAACAUCACAUUGGUCAUCCAGUGAUAAUUCCAUCAAUUUUGUCCUUCAACUACUAAUUUGAUAUCAUUAAGAGUCAUUUUGAAUGCAAAGUGUAGUAUGGGAGGACCAAUUAAAUAUAUAUUGAUGGAGUAAUUUGAUGCCACGGGUACAUCUUUGCACAACUAAAAAGGACUACCCUAGUUAUUUCACGUUCAUUCAAUAUUAAGACUACUAGAGAAGAUAGUUGUUGUGAUUCAAUACGACAAUAACUGAUCUUGAACUUUAUGCCAAUAUAAAUUCGUUCUAAUAUUUAGUGCGGCAUUUGCCACCACCCAAUUUUUUUUCCACAACUAGUUUAUCUCAGAAAGUCACAAUUUCAUUCAACUACCUCUACAUUUAUGAAAUCUUCACACCAAGUAUGCCACAACUUCUACAAUUUCCACAAUUUCUCUUUAAAUAGAAUAAAAGAUCUAAAAGGAAAUUCCUAAACUACUGUACAUACUUUUAAUUUCUAAAGAUAUGGGUCAGGAUUCCAAAAAUAUUCUAUUCAGGCCAAUCCUCGAAGAUUCUAACUCUCAAAUUGAUAGGCGGAUAUGAUUCAUUCCCAACUUAACAACAUCUAAAAGUAGCACCAUUCCAUCCUUUCAACACUACAUCUGCAUGCUGAUUUCCAAACGGCACAAUGAAAGUGUCCCAUUAUCCAAAGGACAAAGUUCCCUUCACCCAGGAUGGUAAUGAUCCUGUCAACAAUUCUCUAAACAUCCAAAAACAUUCCCCUCCUACAAAGACCCCCCCACUAACAACCCAACUAACAACUAAUUUUAUAAUCUAUUUCCACCUAUCAUACACAUUAUAUCCUAUCACCAU